rnacentral:tRNA from 1 species
GCGGUCAUAAUUCAAUGGUAGAAUGACAGCCUUCCAAGCUGUUCGUUGUCGGUUCGAGUCCGACUGACCGCUCCA